GGCUGGUCUGAUGGUAGUGGGUUAUCAGAACUUAUUAAUAUUAGUGUCACUAAGGUUAAUAUAUAACCCCCCCACUAAAUUUGACUGGCUUAAA
rnacentral:Y_RNA from 1 species